GACGAACGCUGGCGGCGUGCCUAAUACAUGCAAGUCGAACGCACAGUUUAUACCGUAGCUUGCUACACCAUAGACUGUGAGUUGCGAACGGGUGAGUAACGCGUAGGUAACCUGCCUGGUAGCGGGGGAUAACUAUUGGAAACGAUAGCUAAUACCGCAUAAUAUUAAUUAUUGCAUGAUAAUUAAUUGAAAGGUGCAAUUGCACCACUACCAGAUGGACCUGCGUUGUAUUAGCUAGUAGGUGAGGUAACGGCUCACCUAGGCGACGAUACAUAGCCGACCUGGGGAGGUGAUCGGCCAAACUGGGACUGGGACACGGCCCAGACUCCUUCGGGAGGCAGCAGUAGGGAAUCUUCGGCAAUGGACGAAAGUCUGACCGAGCAACGCCGCGUGAGUGAAGAAGGUUUUCGGAUCGUAAAGCUCUGUUGUAAGGGAAGAACGGGUGUGGGAGUGGAAAGUUCACACUGUGACGGUAUCUUACCAGAAAGGGACGGCUAACUACGUG
rnacentral:rRNA from 1 species